AAAACAUAGUAUAAUACAAUACAUUUCACUUACACUGAAAAUAUACUUAAUUUAUAAGUUGUUUU
rnacentral:tRNA from 1 species